rnacentral:rRNA from 1 species
CUUAAAGGAAUUGACGGGGAGCACUACAACGGGUGGAGCCUGCGGUUUAAUUGGAUUCAACGCCGGAAAUCUUACCGGGACCGACAGCAAUAUGAAGGCCAGGCUGAAGACUUUGCCGGAUUAGCUGAGAGGUGGUGCAUGGCCGUCGUCAGUUCGUACUGUGAAGCAUCCUGUUAAGUCAGGCAACGAGCGAGACCCACGCCCACAGUUGCCAGCGUACUCUCUGGAGUGACGGGUACACUGUGGGGACCGCCGCUGCUAAAGCGGAGGAAGGAAUGGGCAACGGUAGGUCAGUAUGCCCCGAAUAUCCCGGGCUACACGCGAGCUACAAUGGUUGGUACAAUGGGUAUCUACCCCGAAAGGGGACGGGAAUCUCCUAAAACCAAUCUUAGUUCGGAUUGAGGGCUGCAACUCGCCCUCAUGAAGCUGGAAUCCGUAGUAAUCGCGUUUCAACAGAACGCGGUGAAUACGUCCCUGCUCCUU